GACGAACGCUGGCGGCGUGCUUAACACAUGCCAGUCGAACGGAAAGGCCUGCUUUCCCUUGUGGAUUGCGGGUACUCGAGUGGCGAACGGGUGAGUAACACGUGAGUGAUCUGCCCCCAACUUGGGUAUAAGCCUGGGAAACUGGGUCUAAUUCCCGAUAGGACUGCAGGGUGGUGCCUGUGGUGGAAAACGAUUUUCUAGUGGUUGGGGAUGAGCUCGCGGCCUAUCAGCUUGUUGGUGGGGUAAUGGCCUACCACGGCGGCGACGGGUAGCCGGCCUGAGAGGGUGGACGGCCACAUUGGGACUGAGAUACGGCCCAGACUCCUACGGGAGGCAGCAGUGGGGAAUAUUGCACAAUGGGCGGAAGCCUGAUGCAGCGACGCCGCGUGGGGGAUGACGGCCUUCGGGUUGUAAACUCCUUUCGACCGCGAGGAAGCCACCUGGUUGGAAGGGUGGUGACGGUAGUGGUAGAAGAAGCACCGGCUAACUACGUG
rnacentral:rRNA from 1 species